CCCUAAGCCUCUUUAAUAAAUACACAAAAAGACACCUUUACUGAUUUCACAUCCACCGGGAGCUGCUAUCUUCGUUGCACUCGCACCCAAACCAAAGCAACCACCGCCGUCGAUUUCAGGUCACUACCGCCGGCCGCCGAUUCACCGCCUUCAGGGCAGCCCACAGUUAACUACAGAUGAGGGGAAGGAGUUACAGUCCAUCACCACCACCAAGGGGAUAUGGUAGGAGAGGACGGAGUCCUAGCCCAAGGGGUCGUUAUGGUGGUCAUAGUAGAGAUAGAGAUCAUCCUACAAGCCUCCUAGUUCGUAACCUUCGCCAUGAUUGCAGGCCAGAUGAUCUUCGCCGUCCAUUUGGGCAGUUUGGUCCUCUGAAGGACAUUUACCUGCCAAAGGAUUAUUAUUCAGGUGAAAUUAAAGUUUUGAAGACAACAAUCAAGUAAUUAGAGGUCUUUUGAAGAUGAUGUUAAUGGUAGAGAAGAUUUGAAGGAAGUUGGGUUUGAAUACAUUGUGAAGAUGUUCCAAGUCUUGAAGAAUUUCAAGUCAUCUUAAAAUUCACACUUGAAAGGCAACCUCGUGGUUUCGGUUUUGUCCAAUUUGUUGAUCCUACUGAUGCUGCGGAGGCUAAAUAUCAAAUGGAUGGUCACGUUCUUCUUGGUCGCGAGGUAACUGUUGUAUUUGCAGAGGAGAACAGGAAGAAGCCGUCUGAUAUGAGGCAAAGGGAGGGUCCAAGCUCCAGGGGUAGUGGUCGACAUCGUGAUCGAAGAGGGUCUCCUCCACGCUAUUCACGCUCUCCACGAUAUUCCCGAUCUCCACCUCCACGUCAUGCAAGAUCUCGGCCCCGCAGCCCUUCUUAUGAUUCCCCUCCCCCAAAAAGAAGGGAAUAUUCGAGAUCUGUCUCACCCCCGGCAAAAAGGUACAGUAGAGAGAGAUCGUUUUCCCGAUCUCCUCCUCAACCAUAUAAUGGCUCAAGGGGCCGCAGUCAGAGUCCAGUUAGGGGUCCAAGCCGGAGCAGAAGCCAGAGUCCAAGGCAAAUUGGUAGAAGCUUGAGUGGCAGGCCACAAAGUCCUGAUCAUGAAGAUUACUCAAGGGAACCAAAUGGAGACAGGUCUCCUAGUCCAUGAACAAGUAGAAAGACUGUUUAAAUGUUUUUACUUUCAAAACUACUGUGAAGUAACUUGUUAUUCCGAACUAGAGAUUUAGUCUUGUAUUUUGGUUCCUUUAAUGUUUUGUUGUACUAUUUGAUGAGAUUUAAUCUAGGAUUCAGUAGGUUGAUGAUGUUUGUUUCAGUUACUCCUGUUAUGAUAUCAGUGAUCCUGAAGAUGCUUGAAUA